GGAGCCUGUGCCUCUGGGCUGUGAGCUUCUUCACAAGUGCUUCUUAGUUCUUUUCUCCCCCUAGGUGGGACAGGAUGGCUACAGUGAGCUGAAGUUGGGUGUUUCCUUUCCCUCAAGUCAGUUAGACUCUGAUAAAGCCCCAGCAUGUUUGGCUGGGGUUAAACAGCUUCUCCUGAGGGCAGGCCUUGUGAAGAAGACUAAGGAUGAAGUGGUGACUUCUGGACUUCUUACCUGCUGGAUUGAAAGCCGAAGGAGACAGCUGUCUGCAAGGUGGGAAGAGGCCCUCACCAGGAACACAACCAUGCUGGCACCCUGAUCUCAGACUUCCCAGCCUUGAGAAAUAAAUAUCUGUUG